rnacentral:rRNA from 1 species
AGAGUUUGAUCCUGGCUCAGGAUGAACGCUAGCGGGAGGCUUAACACAUGCAAGUCGAGGGGUAUGAUUAGCAAUAGUCAGAGACCGGCGCACGGGUGAGUAACGCGUAUGCAACCUGCCCUUUACAGGGGGAUAGCCCGUCGAAAGGCGGAUUAAUACCCCAUAAUAUUGUACUGCCGCAUGGUAGAACGAUAAAAGCUGAGGCGGUAAAGGAUGGGCAUGCGUGACAUUAGCUGGUUGGUAGGGUAACGGCCUACCAAGGCUACGAUGUCUAGGGGUUCUGAGAGGAAGGUCCCCCACACUGGUACUGAGACACGGACCAGACUCCUACGGGAGGCAGCAGUGAGGAAUAUUGGUCAAUGGGCGC